AUUGAACGCUAGCGGGAUGCCUUACACAUGCAAGUCGAACGGCAGCGCGGACUUCGGUCUGGCGGCGAGUGGCGAACGGGUGAGUAAUGUAUCGGAACGUGCCCAGUAGCGGGGGAUAACUACUCGAAAGAGUAGCUAAUACCGCAUACGCCCUACGGGGGAAAGGGGGGGAUCGCAAGACCUCUCACUAUUGGAGCGGCCGAUAUCGGAUUAGCUAGUUGGUGAGGGAAAGGCUAACCAAGGCGACGAUCCGUAGCUGGUUGGAGAGGACGACCCGCCACCCUGGGACUGGGACACGGCCCAGACUCCUACGGGAGGCAGCAGUGGGGAAUUUUGGACAAUGGGGGAAACCCUGAUCCAGCCAUUCCGCGUGUGCGAUGAAGGUCUUCGGGUUGUAAAGCACUUUUGGCAGGAAAGAAAUCGCAUGGAUUAAUACUCUGUGUGGAUGACGGUACCUGCAGAAUAAGCACCGGCUAACUACGUGCCAGCCGCCGCCGUAA
rnacentral:rRNA from 1 species